rnacentral:rRNA from 1 species
UGGGAGGCUUUGAAGUGUGGACGCCAGUCUGCAUGGAGCCGACCUUGAAAUACCACCCUUUAAUGUUUGAUGUUCUAACGUGGGCCCCUAAUCGGGGUUGCGGACAGUGUCUGGUGGGUAGUUUGACUGGGGCGGUCUCCUCCUAAAGAGUAACGGAGGAGCACGAAGGUUGGCUAAUCCUGGUCGGACAUCAGGAGGUUAGUGCAAUGGCAUAAGCCAGCUUGACUGCGAGCGUGACGGCGCGAGCAGGUGCGAAAGCAGGUCAUAGUGAUCCGGUGGUUCUGAAUGGAAGGGCCAUCGCUCAACGGAUAAAAGGUACUCCGGGGAUAACAGGCUGAUACCGCCCAAGAGUUCAUAUCGACGGCGGUGUUUGGCACCUCGAUGUCGGCUCAUCACAUCCUGGGGCUGAAGUAGGUCCCAAGGGUAUGGCUGUUCGCCAUUUAAAGUGGUACGCGAGCUGGGUUUAGAACGUCGUGAGACAGUUCGGUCCCUAUCUGCCGUGGGCGCUGGAGAACUGAGGGGGGCUGCUCCUAGUACGAGAGGACCGGAGUGGACGCAUCACUGGUGUUCGGGUUGUCAUGCCAAUGGCACUGCCCGGUAGCUAAAUGCGGAAGAGAUAAGUGCUGAAAGCAUCUAAGCACGAAACUUGCCCCGAGAUGAGUUCUCCCUGAGACUUAGAGUCUCCUGAAGGAACGUUGAAGACGACGACGUUGAUAGGCCGGGUGUGUAAGCGCAGCGAUGCGUUGAGCUAACCGGUACUAAUGAACCGUGAGGCUUAACCUU